rnacentral:rRNA from 2 species
UGGCGGCGUGCCUAAUACAUGCAAGUCGAACGAGUUCUCGUUGAUGAUCGGUGCUUGCACCGAGAUUCAACAUGGAACGAGUGGCGGACGGGUGAGUAACACGUGGGUAACCUGCCCUUAAGUGGGGGAUAACAUUUGGAAACAGAUGCUAAUACCGCAUAGAUCCAAGAACCGCAUGGUUCUUGGCUGAAAGAUGGCGUAAGCUAUCGCUUUUGGAUGGACCCGCGGCGUAUUAGCUAGUUGGUGAGGUAAUGGCUCACCAAGGCGAUGAUACGUAGCCGAACUGAGAGGUUGAUCGGCCACAUUGGGACUGAGACACGGCCCAAACUCCUACGGGAGGCAGCAGUAGGGAAUCUUCCACAAUGGACGCAAGUCUGAUGGAGCAACGCCGCGUGAGUGAAGAAGGCUUUCGGGUCGUAAAACUCUGUUGUUGGAGAAGAAUGGUCGGCAGAGUAACUGUUGUCGGCGUGACGGUAUCCAACCAGAAAGCCACGGCUAACUACGUGCCAGCAGCCGCGGUAAUACGUAGGUGGCAAGCGUUAUCCGGAUUUAUUGGGCGUAAAGCGAGCGCAGGCGGUUUUUUAAGUCUGAUGUGAAAGCCCUCGGCUUAACCGAGGAAGCGCAUCGGAAACUGGGAAACUUGAGUGCAGAAGAGGACAGUGGAACUCCAUGUGUAGCGGUGAAAUGCGUAGAUAUAUGGAAGAACACCAGUGGCGAAGGCGGCUGUCUGGUCUGUAACUGACGCUGAGGCUCGAAAGCAUGGGUAGCGAACAGGAUUAGAUACCCUGGUAGUCCAUGCCGUAAACGAUGAAUGCUAGGUGUUGGAGGGUUUCCGCCCUUCAGUGCCGCAGCUAACGCAUUAAGCAUUCCGCCUGGGGAGUACGACCGCAAGGUUGAAACUCAAAGGAAUUGACGGGGGCCCGCACAAGCGGUGGAGCAUGUGGUUUAAUUCGAAGCAACGCGAAGAACCUUACCAGGUCUUGACAUCUUUUGAUCACCUGAGAGAUCAGGUUUCCCCUUCGGGGGCAAAAUGACAGGUGGUGCAUGGUUGUCGUCAGCUCGUGUCGUGAGAUGUUGGGUUAAGUCCCGCAACGAGCGCAACCCUUAUGACUAGUUGCCAGCAUUUAGUUGGGCACUCUAGUAAGACUGCCGGUGACAAACCGGAGGAAGGUGGGGAUGACGUCAAAUCAUCAUGCCCCUUAUGACCUGGGCUACACACGUGCUACAAUGGAUGGUACAACGAGUUGCGAGACCGCGAGGUCAAGCUAAUCUCUUAAAGCCAUUCUCAGUUCGGACUGUAGGCUGCAACUCGCCUACACGAAGUCGGAAUCGCUAGUAAUCGCGGAUCAGCACGCCGCGGUGAAUACGUUCCCGGGCCUUGUACACACCGCCCGUCACACCAUGAGAGUUUGUAACACCCGAAGCCGGUGGCGUAACCCUUUUAGGGAGCGAGCCGUCUAAGGUGGGACAAAUGAUUAGGGUG